ACCAACCAGCUGGGACAGGACGGGCACCGCGUGUUCCGGGCACUCAGCCCAGAGCUGGCCCUGGAGGUGACAACGUGGGGACACGGGCACACAGGUGACGCCGCUCGGGGACACCGUGGGGGCUCAGAACUCCGGAUUUGUCCCCGCUCUGUCCUUGGUGACACAGAAGGGACAAGGCACAGGUGGCGUCACCCAGCGUCACUGUGGGCGCUUCGACCACUGGGUUUGUCCCUGAAGGUGACACGGAGGGGACACGGAGGGGACAGAGCACAGGUGGCAUCACUCGGGGACACUGUGAGGGCUUGCAACCUCGGGUUUGUCCCCACUCUGCCCUUGGUGGCAUAGAAGUGACAAGACAGACGUGGCAUCAGCCAAGGUCACUGUGGGGUCCAGGACAGCUGGGUUUGUCCCUGGUGGUGACACAGAGGUGACAGGGCACAGGUGGCAUCACCCCGGGUCACCGUGGGGGAGCAGCACCCCCGGGUGACCCCAAAGUGUCCCCUCUGUCCCCAGCAGUGGCCGCAGGGGUUGGCAGCUCCCUCCUGGCCCUGGUCCUGCUCGUGGGUGCCAUCGUGGGCUGGCAGUGCCACCGCCGGGCCCCCAGGACCCCCGAGGACAGGACCCCCGCGGUGCCCCCCGAGGGGGGCGAGGUGCUCUACACCCAGGUGGUGCCCACGGCGAGGGCGGCGGGGUCCCCAAGCGCCACCGCCGAGGUCCCCCAGGUGACCUACGCGGAGCUGCCGGGACCGCGGUGGCACCCGGGGGACAGCGGUGACUACGAGAACGUGCUGUGACACCGCGGUGGCACCGGGGGGCGGCGCCCGGUCCCCAAAUGCCACCCAGGGACAGCGGUGACAUCCACGAGACAGUGCUGUGACACUGGGGUGGCAUUUGUCCCCAAGUGCCACCCCUCAGGGAGCUGCCAGGUCCCCAAAUGCCACCCAGGGACAGCGGUGACAUCCACGAGACCGUGCUGUGACACUGGGGUGGCACAGGAUCCCCCAGUGCCACCCCUCAGGGAGCUGCCAGGUCCCCAAAUGCCACCCAGGGACAGCGGUGACAUCGAUGAGAUGGUGCUGUGACAAUGGGGGUGGCACUGGGGACAGGCACACGCUUGUGUCCCCUGGUCCUGAGGGUG